CCGGCACGGUGGAGUAACACGUAUCCAACCUGCCGUCUACUCUUGGACAGCCUUCUGAAGGAAGAUUAAUACAAGAUGGCAUCAUGAGUUCACAUGUUCACAUGAUUAAAGGUAUUCCGGUAGACGAUGGGGAUGCGUUCCAUUAGAUAGUAGGCGGGGUAACGGCCCACCUAGUCUUCGAUGGAUAGGGGUUCUGAGAGGAAGGUCCCCCACAUUGGAACUGAGACACGGUCCAA
rnacentral:rRNA from 1 species